GAAUCUCAGGCUUCAUUCAUUAAUUACAAAUAUUCAGAUCAGUGUGUGAUAUGGACAAAUUCAACUGUUAUGCAGGCAUUACCACUUACAUGAGAGGAACAACCCAGCCAACUAUCCAAGUGUUGUAUAAAAACAAAUGGUCACCAAGUCCUUGACUUCUCACUCAGUUGGGCAGACUUUAUAGCUGCAGUCUCAGACUUCCAAGGCUCUGCUGCUGCCCUCCUUGCUUGCCUUCAUCUUCCCCCCUUCCAUCUGAGGGGAUGCUGCUCCAUGUUAUUUGGGCGUUAUCCAUGGCCUGCAGCCGGGCGGGCAAGCAGCAGGGUGUCCACAGCUGAGCAAACAAUUGCCGGGCUGCUCCCCACGGCGUCCCGUGCGGCGGAAGAGGAAGCGCUGUCAAUCAUGGCACACAUGUGUACAGCGGGGAGCUGCCGAGGUUGUGAUGGGCACACGUCAAUUGUCUUGGACUGCCAGGGUGAGCAAGGAUACUUCAUCCAGUGCAGAGGUGGCCAGGAAUUUAUAAGCUGUCAGUAA
rnacentral:lncRNA from 1 species